CGCAUCUGUGCAUGCAGCAUAUCAAUAAGCGGAGGAAAAGAAACUAACAAGGAUUCCCUUAGUAACGGCGAGUGAAGCUGGGAAGAGCUCAAAUUUGAAAUCUUCAAGGUUUUACCUUGACGAAUUGUAGUUUAAAGAAGUGUUUUCUGUUGAAGUUUUGGUAAAAUUUCUUUGGAAUAGGACAUCAUAGAGGAUGAGAAUCCCGUAUUUGACCAUUAUUUUCAGCUGUGUGAUACACUUUCAAAGAGUCGGAUUGUUUGGGAAUGCAGUCCAAAAUGGGUGGUAAAUUUCAUCUAAAGCUAAAUAUUGGCGAGAGACCGAUAGCGAACAAGUACCGUGAGGGAAAGAUGAAAAGAACUUUGAAAAGAGAGUUAAACAGUACGUGAAAUUGUCAAAAGGGAAGCGUUUGACACCAGUGUUGUUUUCUCGAAAAUCAAUUAAAAAGAGUUUGAUUUUGUUGUGUAUUGACCUUAACAGCUUGCAUUUCAAUUUCCUUGCUUUUUUUAAUGCACUUUUCGUUUAACAAGUCAACAUCAGUUUCUUUUGUUGUAAAAAGGUCAUUGGAAGGUGGCUUUCUUUUCGGAGAAAGUGUUUAUAGCCCUUGACUCCUGCAAUCGGAGAGACUGAGGUCUGCAGCGUAGAUCCUUCGGGGUUAGAUACAUUUGUGCUAAGUUAUAGCUUUUUAUAGACAACUUGUUGACUAUGAUUAGUCUUGUAGCUUACUCGCUUAUGCUAUUUUACCUACGCUUAGGAUGUUGAUGUGAUACUGCGAGC
rnacentral:rRNA from 1 species